UGCAAAGGUAUUAAUAAUUGGCGAACUGACAAAUGCGACGACAUAGAUAUGGAGGUCGUCAAAAAAGAAACGCACCACAAAUGGCCCGCUGCGUUAUUUAAACCCCUUUCCUGAAGACACUGAAGGGUUUCGACUAGAAUACUAGAAAAACGGAAACACCCAAUGCUGUUACUAAGCAGAUGCGACUUCGUGAUACACUACGUUCGCCAUAUUCAUAUUAAAAAUUAUCACGCAGGACCCAAAGCACUCGUAUCACUGAUACGACUUCAGUGCUGGAUUGACAAUGCGCGCGACGUAGCGAGGCGCAUUGUCAGAUCUUGCUAUCAUGGCGAACGCUACAAGCCAAAACUUAUGAACCAAAUCAUGAGACAGCUACCAGUCGAGUGGCUAACUCCAAGUCGUCCAUUCGCACUCUGUGGUGUCGAUUUCUGUGGUCCAGUCAACAUCUAGCUUCACAUCAGAGGCAAGACUCCUUAUAAGGCGUACAUUGCGAUUUUUGUCUGCCUAACUGCCAAAGCGGUCUAUAUCGAGCUCGUUUCAGUCCUAACUACGUCACUAAAACGAAUGGUCGUCAGAAGAGGACUGCCUUCUGAUAUAUUUUACGAUAACACAACCAAUUUCAUUGGGUCUUGUAACAAACUCACUGAACUGCAGAGCACCUCAGUUCGGCGAUAUUUGAGGGGCAGCAGUGAGAUUCGCGAAAGGCCAUCUUAAACGCACUAUAAUGAAUGCCAGACUCACACCCGAGGAGCUGACAACAGUCCUGAUUGAAAUAGAAGCAGUGAUGAAUUCUCGACCAAUAGCACCACUAUCAUCCGACCCAAAUGACUAUGAAGCACUAGCUCCAGGACAUUUCAUUAUUGGUAGUUCGCUAAAGGCCCUGCCAGAGCGUUAAUUGUCAACUAGCAUCAGCAACUCACAAGGGUGGAAUCAAAUGACAGGCAUUAAGCAGGCAUUUUGGAAUCGAUGGUCACACGAAUACGUCAAUGAACUUCAAUCACGGACGAAAUGGUGCGUUGGGAAUCCAAAUAUUCACUAUAACUCAAUGGUCAUUAUUCAUGAAGACAACAUACCACCCCAAAAAUAGCAUCCUGAUUCCAAUAGUCGACAUUCGGACAGCGAAAAGCGUCAUUCGGCACCCAGUUCAUAAGCUAGGCCACCUUUUUAUACCAAUUACAACUAGCGUUAGGAUCAGCAACCUCUAUGGAAUAUUAGUAUGUAUGUACAUAGACUAGGAGCUUUGAGAAACCGGUUUGGUAAAGUAGCGGUUUACAUUUAAGACAUGAAUUAGUAUUUAAGGAAGUGAAUUGUGAAAAAUAAAUUAGUAUAAUAAUUGACCACCGAA